rnacentral:rRNA from 1 species
UACGUAGGGGGCAAGCGUUGUCCGGAAUCAUUGGGCGUAAAGAGCGCGUCGGCGGCCCUGUAAGUCCGCUGUGAAAGUCAAGGGCUCAACCCUUGAAUGCCGGUGGAUACUGCAGGGCUAGAGUCCGGAAGAGGCGAGUGGAAUUCCUGGUGUAGCGGUGAAAUGCGCAGAUAUCAGGAGGAACACCGAUGGCGAAGGCAGCUCGCUGGGACGGUACUGACGCUGAGGCGCGAAAGCGUGGGGAGCAAACAGG